CUGUGAAGUUAGCUGUUUAUGUCAUGUGCUUAUGAGUACAAGUAAAUGAAGUUAGUUGAAUAAUGUAUUUUGUAAACAAUGUUUACAAAUUUUCUUUGCGGCAUUUGUGAGAAAAUAAUCGUGCUCCGUAAUUUUUUAAUUUUUGACCAAAAGAAACAUUAAAAAAUGGUGAAACAUUGUAUUGUGCGUGGAUGUAAAAGAGAUUUAGCAUCUGAUCGCUAAAAUAGAAUGAAUUACUGAAAAACAAUUUGCGUCAAUCAUCUUUAUUCAAAGUACCAAACUACCAAAGAUUAACGUAUUGAGGGAAAAUGGGUAAAAGCUUUAUCACAACAAUUGACUCCAAAUCAGUUUGUGUGUGAGAAGCACUUUCGCGAAGAAGAUAUUAAGAAAAUUGAUCGAUUGAUUAUUAAUGGAGCUGAAAUUAUCAUCCCUCGCAAAAGGUGGACUCUUUUGAAUGACAAUGUCAUUCCAAUAAACCCUCAGGAUUUGGAAAAGGACAUUUCUGAAGAGCAAGUUACAACAGUGCAAAAUGACAUUAAUACCCUUGUUAAAAAUCGUUCAAGGUAACAAUUUAAAAGAAGAUUCUCAACCAGCAGGACCCCAUCAUAUGGAAUCACCAGAGAUUGUAACAGCUAAUAAUGUCAUUAUCUCGAACAUGUCUCCACCAUCAUGUGUUACACUAGAAGAGAUCCAUGCUCAUUUUCACUCAAUACUGAUCCAAGGAUGGUGUUAUUUUGCUUGUGAUGAAGAGUUGAUAUUAUAUAAGAUAUGAAUUUUACUAUUUCCAAUAAUCUUUCAGUGAAGGUAAAUAAUUUUCUCAUGCUUUUUUAAAUAAUUUUAUCUAUUCAUAAUGCAUACAGAGCAUUUUAUAAAAUUUAUUAAGUUUUGCUCACAUAAUCAUUUCUGAUACAACAGGUUUCUUUCUCUCAACAACCAGAAAUUGUUAUUGAUACUACAUCAUCUAUAGAAGAUAUAAAAAUGUAUAUGGAAACUCUGCAAGCCACUAUUUUAUGUAAAGGAACUGACAUACACUAUAGGUACCAUAUAUUUUCUUUCAUUUCUUUUAAUAUAAAUAAAAAUCUCAUACUAUUAUACAUUAGGUGAAAAUUGAAAAUAAACUUAAAGAUUCACCUAAAUCGAGGCUCCAUCUAGAACUGUGACACCUGAAGUAAAAACAAGCAUCAAGUACAUCUUUUAGUAGUAGUGUGAAAAGAAAGAAAGUAUCUACAUUACCUUUGAAAAAUUCCAAAUCAUCUUGUAAGUCAAUAGAUAUGUUUUUUAGGUAGCAGAUUUUUUUUGUAAUUAUCUAACUGUAUGCAAAUGAACUUGUAAAUAAUGUAAAUACAUUUAUAAAGCAAUUUUAUGAAAUAAAAAAAAAUAUGAUAUUUUAAUUGUUUUUUAUUUAUUUUACUACUAUGUCGUUAAAUAUAGCAAAUUUUGAUCUUUCAUUUCUACUAUCACUCAAUAUUGAUACUAAUUCACCACUUCGCCAGUAAACCUGUAUAGUAGUCACAAUGCAAAG
rnacentral:misc_RNA from 1 species